UACGUAGGGUCCGAGCGUUGUCCGGAAUUAUUGGGCGUAAAGAGCUCGUAGGCGGUUUGUCGCGUCUGCCGUGAAAGUCCGGGGCUCAACCCCGUGACUGCAUUCGAUACUGUCAGGCUAGAGGUAGGUAGGGGAGAUCGGAAUUCCUGGUGUAGCGGUGAAAUGCGCAGAUAUCAGGAGGAACACCGGUGGCGAAGGCGGGUCUCUGGGCCGUAACUGACGCUGAGGAGCGAAAGCAUGGGGAGCGAACAGG
rnacentral:rRNA from 1 species